CAUCCGAAAUAAUCUGUACCACAAACAGCGUUAUGCAGUCCGAUUGUCAAAUAUAAUACGUCUUUUGUGUGCCGAAAAUCGAUUAUGGCCUUUUUGUUGUCAAAAUUCGAGGUUUGAAAUUCUCGUGUUUCACAAUAGUUACGAUGUUUAUCGGUGCCAGACAAGCAAAGCAAACAAAUAUGAACUUGAUUAUUUCUUUGAAAGCUCAUGGGAAUUGCCGUUAAUAGUGUCACUCAAGUCUGAAGUCUAUUUGAUUUGGAAAUAUCGAAGACGAAUUAUAGUUACUAUAUUAUUAAUAUUGUACUGAAUGAAGCAUUAGAAUACAAAGAUGAAAAACCUG